rnacentral:lncRNA from 1 species
AGAGGACUCAUAAUCAAGGGCAAUAAACUAGAUCCAUAGCAGUUUAAUGGUUCAAAGGGAUGGGAGCUGUUUAUGUCAGUCCUGUCACUUCUUGAAAAUGGAUAAGGCUCCAAAAAAGAAGAGAAGAGCGGGUAUAGCGCUUCCUGGUUUCCAUGAGAUGGCAUUCAGUGCUGGGGGUUGGGUUUGGAGACACAGAAGCGGGGUGUUUGCUGCAGUCACUUGAUGAUUUUGUGUACAGAGCCGGCAUCUGAUCAGAUUUUUAACCUGGGGGAGAGAAGCAAAGCAGAAUUCUGACAGUUCAGCAUCACCCACGCGGCGCUCGCUGCAUGGAUGAACAAAGCAGCUGCUGAAGCUCUCGUUUUCCCCAAAUGAAACACGGCAUCAAGAGUCUUCAGCACUUGCUCUCCAGACGCUGCUCUUCCAUGGAGAACGGGCUGAGGAAACGCACAGCAAUGGUCCCCGGAGUAGCAAUGAUGGUUGACCCAGACGUCCCUCCGGUCAGACUGCUCUUUCCCCUCGGCGCGUGGCUGCAGCCGCUCACUGCGGGGUGAGGCCAAGGCUCUUCCCAUUCCUGCUCUCCAAAGGCAGACAGACCCAUUUACUAUUAUUCUGCACAUUUGAGAAAAAAAAAGAAAAAGGUGAGUUAAAAUAAUACAAAGAUGGAGGAGCAAGGAAAGGAAAGUUUGCUGAAUGCGUGGUGAAUUAUCUUCAGAAAGCCGAUUGCUCUGUCUGCUGUCCAUUCUCUUGCUUCUCCCCAGCACCGCCGGGAAUGGGCAGGUUUCCCUGGUGUGGCUCAUCUCGAAGGCUGCUGGGGGAGGUUAUCGGCUGAGAAAAACACUACUUAGCCCUGCUGAUUGGGCAUGAGUUUCUUUACAACCCAGAAUGAGUGAGGGAAGCUAUUUUUUCUUCUUGGCUCUGGCAAAAACCCACUGUUUGAGUGCUCGGUUCAUUUUUCUGUGUUCCCAAACUAUAUAAAAGUGGGGGUUAGUCUUUCUUCCUACCCAGUCUAUCCUUUAACAGUAGGGGCUCUUGGUCUACAGGUGUAGGUAGCAGUUACUGCAAUCAGAUUCUCAGUUCGAGGUGUUGCUAACAGUGUGCAAAGCAAGGUAUAAAACAUACAGCAUAGCAUUAUGGGUUAAAUACAGCUUUAAUUAAAAGAUUUUGUUGUAAUAUGCUUUGCUUGGCUUUUCUUUCAUGUAUAAUAAAAAAAUUGAAAUAAUUCA